rnacentral:rRNA from 1 species
UGGGGAAUCUUGGACAAUGGGGGCAACCCUGAUCCAGCCAUGCCGCGUGAUCGAUGAAGGCCUUAGGGUUGUAAAGAUCUUUCAGCUGGGAAGAUAAUGACGGUACCAGCAGAAGAAGCCCCGGCUAACUCCGUGCCAGCAGCCGCGGUAAUACGGAGGGGGCUAGCGUUGUUCGGAAUUACUGGGCGUAAAGCGCACGUAGGCGGAUCAGCAAGUUAGGGGUGAAAUCCCGGGGCUCAACCCCGGAACUGCCUUUAAAACUGUUGGUCUGGAGUCCGAGAGAGGUGAGUGGAAUUCCGAGUGUAGAGGUGAAAUUCGUAGAUAUUCGGAGGAACACCAGUGGCGAAGGCGGCUCACUGGCUCGGUACUGACGCUGAGGUGCGAAAGCGUGGGGAGCAAACA